rfam:Amborella trichopoda AMTR_V1.0_contig_27572, whole genome shotgun sequence.
AGUCGGCUGUGAGGACCAUCAUUCAGCAUAAUGCCAGUUCUGCUCCAGAAAAUUCUUGAUUGAUAAGCUGAUUAAUACCUGAGCCUUUU